rnacentral:rRNA from 1 species
AUUGAACGCUGGCGGCAGGCUUAACACAUGCAAGUCGAGCGGAGAGAGGUAGCUUGCUACUGAUCUUAGCGGCGGACGGGUGAGUAAUGCUUAGGAAUCUGCCUAUUAGUGGGGGACAACAUUUCGAAAGGAAUGCUAAUACCGCAUACGUCCUACGGGAGAAAGCAGGGGAUCUUCGGACCUUGCGCUAAUAGAUGAGCCUAAGUCGGAUUAGCUAGUAGGUGGGGUAAAGGCCUACCAAGGCGACGAUCUGUAGCGGGUCUGAGAGGAUGAUCCGCCACACUGGGACUGAGACACGGCCCAGACUCCUACGGGAGGCAGCAGUGGGGAAUAUUGGACAAUGGGCGGAAGCCUGAUCCAGCCAUGCCGCGUGUGUGAAGAAGGCCUUAUGGUUGUAAAGCACUUUAAGCGAGGAGGAGGCUACUUUAGUUAAUACCUAGAGAUAGUGGACGUUACUCGCAGAAUAAGCACCGGCUAACUCUGUGCCAGCAGCCGCAGUAAUAC